rnacentral:rRNA from 1 species
CGUCGCUAGGACGAACGCUGGCGGCGUGCCUAACACAUGCAAGUCGAGCGAGGAGAUCCUUCGGGAUGAUCCUAGCGGCGGACGGGUGAGUAACACGUGGGCAACCUGCCUCAUAGAGAGGAAUAGCCUUCCGAAAGGGAGAUUAAUACCUCAUAACAUUGCAGUUUCGCAUGGAACAGCAAUUAAAGGAGCAAUCCGCUAUGAGAUGGGCCCCGCGGCGCAUUAGCUAGUUGGUGAGGUAACGGCUCACCAAGGCGACGAUGCGUAGCCGACCUGAGAGGGUGAUCGGCCACAUUGGGACUGAGACACGGCCCAGACUCCUACGGGAGGCAGCAGUGGGGAAUAUUGCACAAUGGGGGAAACCCUGAUGCAAGCAACGCCGCGUGAGUGAUGACGGCCUUCGGGUUGUAAAGCUCUGUCUUCAGGGACGAUAAUGACGGUACCUGAGGAGGAAGCCACGGCUAACUACGUGCCAGCAGCCGC